GAUGAACGCUGGCGGCGUGCCUAAUACAUGCAAGUCGAGCGAACAGACGAGGAGCUUGCUCCUCUGACGUUAGCGGCGGACGGGUGAGUAACACGUGGAUAACCUACCUAUAAGACUGGGAUAACUUCGGGAAACCAGAGCUAAUACCGGAUAAUAUAUUGAACAGAAUGGUUCAAUAGUGAAAGACGGUUUUGCUGUCACUUAUAGAUGGAUCCGCGCCGCAUUAGCAAGUUGGUAAGGUAACGGCUUACCAAGGCAACGAUGCGUAGCCGACCCGAGAGGGUGAUCGGCCACACUGGAACUGAGACACGGUCCAGACUCCUACGGGAGGCAGCAGUAGGGAAUCUUCCGCAAUGGGCGAAAGCCUGACGGAGCAACGCCGCGUGAGUGAUGAAGGUCUUCGGAUCGUAAAACUCUGUUAUUAGUGAAGAACAAAUGUGUAAGUAACUAUGCACGUCUUGACGGUACCUAAUCAGAAAGCCACGGCUAACUACGUG
rnacentral:rRNA from 1 species